UAUCUGUGGUCGAGAAGGACUUAAGAGAGU
rnacentral:piRNA from 1 species